GAGCUUCUAGUCUCUCUAUCCACGCGUCUCAGCUCAAGCACGCCAGCCGCAUUCUGGUUCUGUACUUCUGUACUCUGGUUCUAUACGGGGUCUCCAUACUACCCCAGCCUUAUAUCCUCAAGUGGUACGCAUCUCUCCCUGUCAGCCUUAUCUCUCGCUUCCUGUCCACAGCAAGCCGCGCCCCAGCCCGUGGCCAUCGGCCUCUUCUUCGCCGCAUGCUCUCCUUGCUCGAGCUCGCCCACUUCCUGGUGCAUCUUCCUCCUCGCCUCCCAUCUCAGGACCAGGCUGCUCGGCCACGCCCAGCAGCUCCUUGAACGCGCGCCCCUCCGAGCAUCUUGUCCCUUUGUUGGUCGCCAUCUUUCCCAGCUCCCCAGCGCAGGUUCGUUACACGUGAUGCGAAGGACAAGAGCCGAGUUGAUCUCAAAAUGAUGAUGGUGAACGAACCUAAGGAUGGAUGAUCUGAUAGAGUGCCAGAAUGGGAGAUGCUCACCAAGUGGUCGUCAUCUAACCGCACUAAUCUAGUGUUAUCCCAGGUUAUAAUUUUGUUCUGUUGUGGAUGGUGCUAAGUGCCGGUGGGCUCGGCCUUCUUAUAUAAGUAUAUCCCAUCUUUAGCUUCUUUAUUGAGGAUUGCCACUUAAGCUAGCAUGUAUUUUAAAACUUAUAAAUAUUUUAUACAUUUUAAAGUGUAAUUCUUUUUAAUCAUUUUCUUUUGUAAUCA
rnacentral:misc_RNA from 1 species